GAUUCAUUGCUCAAUGGUAGAGCAUCGGUGCGGUACGCCGAAGGUUUAGGGUUCGAUUCCUAAUAGAGUCA
rnacentral:tRNA from 1 species